rnacentral:lncRNA from 1 species
AGGUGGCAGCCACAUCUCCACCAUCCAAAUCAAAAAAUGUUUAACCAAGAUUAAGAGACUAUAAUGACUCUAAGCCUUAAUCCAAUUUUAAGGCUAAAAAUGCCUCUAAUUCAAAAACUAACAUCUUUUUGGCAAAACUAAUACUACCAAUAUUUCUAAAAUAAAUUUUUACUCAAAGAUUGAUUAUUCUCAAGUCCAAAUACGAAUUCUAAAUCAGAAAAAUUAAUUAAUUUAUUAAUUUAG